UACGAAGGGUGCAAGCGUUAAUCGGAAUUACUGGGCGUAAAGGGUGCGUAGGCGGUUGUUUAAGUCUGUCGUGAAAUCCCCGGGCUUAACUCGGGAACUGCAUUCGAUACGGUUUGGCUUGAGUGUGGGAGAGGAUUAUGGAAUUCCUAGUGUAGCGGUAGAAUGCGUAGAUAUUAGGAGGAACAUCAGAGGCGAAGGCGAUAAUCUGGACCAUAACUGACGCUGAGACACGAAAGCGUGGGGAGCAAACAGG
rnacentral:rRNA from 1 species